rnacentral:rRNA from 1 species
CAGUCGCCGCGGUAAUACGUAGGGAGCAAGCGUUGUUCGGAUUUACUGGGCGUAAAGGGCGCGUAGGCGGCGCGGUAAGUCACUUGUGAAAUCUCUGAGCUUAACUCAGAACGGCCAAGUGAUACUGCUGUGCUAGAGUGCGGAAGAGGCAACCGGAAUUCUUGGUGUAGCGGUGAAAUGCGUAGAUAUCAAGAGGAACACCUGAGGCGAAGGCGGGUUGCUGGGCCGACACUGACGCUGAUGCGCGAAAGCCAGGGGAGCAAACGGGAUUAGAUACCCCCGUAGUCCCUGUCUCUUAUAC